rnacentral:rRNA from 1 species
AGAGUUUGAUCCUGGCUCAGAUUGAACGCUGGCGGCAGGCCUAACACAUGCAAGUCGAACGGUAACAGGAAGCAGCUUGCUGCUUUGCUGACGAGUGGCGGACGGGUGAGUAAUGUCUGGGAAACUGCCUGAUGGAGGGGGAUAACUACUGGAAACGGUGGCUAAUACCGCAUAACGUCGCAAGACCAAAGAGGGGGACCUUCGGGCCUCUUGCCAUCAGAUGUGCCCAGAUGGGAUUAGCUUGUUGGUGAGGUAACGGCUCACCAAGGCGACGAUCCCUAGCUGGUCUGAGAGGAUGACCAGCCACACUGGAACUGAGACACGGCCCAGACUCCUACGGGAGGCAGCAGUGGGGAAUAUUGCACAAUGGGCGCAAGCCUGAUGCAGCCAUGCCGCGUGUAUGAAGAAGGCCUUCGGGUUGUAAAGUACUUUCAGCGGGGAGGAAGGUGUUGUGGUUAAUAACCGCAGCAAUUGACGUUACCCGCAGAAGAAGCACCGGCUAACUCCGUGCCAGCAGCCGCGGUAAUACGGAGGGUGCAAGCGUUAAUCGGAAUUACUGGGCGUAAAGCGCACGCAGGCGGUCUGUCAAGUCGGAUGUGAAAUCCCCGGGCUCAACCUGGGAACUGCAUUCGAAACUGGCAGGCUUGAGUCUUGUAGAGGGGGGUAGAAUUCCAGGUGUAGCGGUGAAAUGCGUAGAGAUCUGGAGGAAUACCGGUGGCGAAGGCGGCCCCCUGGACAAAGACUGACGCUCAGGUGCGAAAGCGUGGGGAGCAAACAGGAUUAGAUACCCUGGUAGUCCACGCCGUAAACGAUGUCUACUUGGAGGUUGUGCCCUUGAGGCGUGGCUUCCGGAGCUAACGCGUUAAGUAGACCGCCUGGGGAGUACGGCCGCAAGGUUAAAACUCAAAUGAAUUGACGGGGGCCCGCACAAGCGGUGGAGCAUGUGGUUUAAUUCGAUGCAACGCGAAGAACCUUACCUGGUCUUGACAUCCACAGAAGAAUCCAGAGAUGGAUUUGUGCCUUCGGGAACUGUGAGACAGGUGCUGCAUGGCUGUCGUCAGCUCGUGUUGUGAAAUGUUGGGUUAAGUCCCGCAACGAGCGCAACCCUUAUCCUUUGUUGCCAGCGGUUAGGCCGGGAACUCAAAGGAGACUGCCAGUGAUAAACUGGAGGAAGGUGGGGAUGACGUCAAGUCAUCAUGGCCCUUACGACCAGGGCUACACACGUGCUACAAUGGCGCAUACAAAGAGAAGCGACCUCGCGAGAGCAAGCGGACCUCAUAAAGUGCGUCGUAGUCCGGAUUGGAGUCUGCAACUCGACUCCAUGAAGUCGGAAUCGCUAGUAAUCGUGGAUCAGAAUGCCACGGUGAAUACGUUCCCGGGCCUUGUACACACCGCCCGUCACACCAUGGGAGUGGGUUGCAAAAGAAGUAGGUAGCUUAACCUUCGGGAGGGCGCUUACCACUUUGUGAUUCAUGACUGGGGUGAAGUCGUAACAAGGUAACC